UGCACUUGCUCGAUGCAGUUUCUUUGCUCUUCUGGCACAGCAUCUGUUCUGUGCUAAACUGCAAAUCAGAGAGACUUCAGUCAAGAAGAAACUCCAAGAGAAGUUUGUGGCACACAAGGUGUCCUUCUUCAAGAAGGUAGCAGAAGCCUUUGUAAUCAACUGCUUUUGCAAAGAGGGUCAACCAGCACUCCCACCUGCUUUUCUGUCAGGCAGCUUUCCAGGCUCUCUUCCCCCAGCCUAGCACUGCCUGGGGUUGUUGUGACCCAGUGCAGAACACGGCACAUGGCAUUGUUGAACCCCGUACCAUUGGUCUCGGCCCAGUGAUCCAGCCUGUUCAGAUCCCUCUGCAGAGCCUUCCUACACUCCAGCAGAUCAACACUCCUGCCCAGCUUGGUGUCAUCAGCAAAAUGACUGAGGAGACACUCAGUCUCCUCCUUCAGGUGGUUGAUAAAAAUAUGAAACAGGACUGGUCCCAACACUGAGCCCUGGGUAUCACCACUGUUUACCAGACACCAGCUGGAUGCAGCACCAUCAACCAUCACUCUAGGCCUGGCCAUCCAGCCAGUUCUUAACCCCACAAGCAGGUCACCUCCCCAAGCCAUGGGCUGCCAGUGUAUCUAGGAGGAUGCCAUGGGAGAUGGUGUCAAAGGUUUACUGGGGAGCAAGGGGAAUGCAAGGGGAAGAGGAAAGAGGAGGAGGAUGACCUGGGAAGUCUCUGAAUGAAAUUGUUUGAAAUGCUUCUCUAAUAUUUUGUAUUCAUGCAGGAAGACUAGAUUCUCCAUCAUUUCCUCAUGUCUUUCCCAAAAAUGCUUCCAAGCAUUUCAGAAAAAUGUAAUUCUAGUGAUAGCUUUUAUGAAGAUUUUCCUGGAAGUAAGUAAUGGUUUUCUAACCAUUGAUCAAAAUUAGAUGGCAAGUAUUACUGCUGAGAUAAAGAUUUAAAUCCCAAUAGAGCAGUACUCUUCUGAACUUACUUAUUGUUAACAGGCUACUGACAACUUGUGUUCUGUGGAAUCAAUUCAUUUGACCAAAAUAUAUAUCCAAGCCUUUCCAAGGCCUAGGAUUAGUUCACAAAACAUUGUCAAGUUCAAUCCAUUAGCAGAAGUAUACUUUGCAAAUUUUCUACCUCUCCAGUCAAAUAUCCUGGAACUUGAAUAAUCAUACUUGCUAAUUUUAAAAAAGGAUAGCAUUUUUGCUAGUGGAUUUUUAAAGUUUCAUAACUACAAAUUUGCUUUUUUGCUACAUACUUCUUUUAAAUCCACUUUUCCAACAGUCACUGCAAGAAGAAAAAAAAGAGCCAGAAAUGUUGUACAUACUGACUCAGACUGUACUUACUGCUGCGUCUCAAGAAUAGGGAAGAGUUGAAUGGGAUGGGGGACAGUGUCUGCAUAGUUGCAGUUCUAGGAGGAGCAAAUGGUUUAUUUAGUUGAUUCCCAGUGACAUUUCCUUCUUAGGUGUUCCCAGGAUGCCCAUCAUAUUAGCUCCAUCUCCACUGCCUGGAAGAUAGUAACAGAAAACUGCUAUUUGACCUCAUUCCUUUAUCUAAUCUCAUCUAUCAAGAGUGUGUGCAGCAACUCAGUAUCUGAGCAUCUCUGAGAAAUUACAUGAAGCCAACAACCUUCUUUGGCAUCUCCUUUUGUACUGGAAAAAAGCAGUGCUUAUGAACAAGGAAAACCAGAUCAGCUCUCAGUAUUCAGCUACACAUACCCACAGGGAAAGUGAGGAGGAUGAAUAGGGGGAGCAGAGUUGUGGAUAAAAGAAGUUCCACUUUCUGUGGAAGUCUUCCAACAGCCACAUCAUAGACACUCAUUAAUUAUAACCCAGCUGAUACAGAACCAAACAUGUUUGACAUUCAGCACAAUUGUCUUAAGAAGUUUAACAGAUGGUGAAAAGUGAACUACAGGUAAAUUGUUGGUCCCAAACUACUCAAAUAGCAGCAGAGCCAGAGCUGCACUCCUUGGGCCUGGAUCCAGGACAAUAAAUUCUCUGCACUGGACUUGAGGUAGCCUUGCAAGGAAGGUUUUAUGCCUCAGUGGACUCUCUCAACACACGGAUCUACUAUGGAGGACAACUGCUUGUCACCUUCCCUCAUCCCAUCCUCCAAGUGUACAUUAGUGAAAUAUCUGUUGACUCUGUUUUACACAGGUGCACCAUGUCCUGCAAUAUCCCACUGUACACACUCCCUGCUCACAUGCCAGAGAUAGGGAAAGUGGAUGAAAUGGGCCUGGAAACACCCAGUUUGACACUUGAGCAACCUUUGAAGCUGUCUCUACUGUAGGCAGAAAAGAAGCAAAGAUCCCAGGGCUUCAGAUAGCUGGAACCUAGUCUGACUAGGAUGCCUUUUAGCAGCACUGCUGGCUCAAGUCACCCCAAGACAAGUCCUCACACCCUCUCUCCUUCCACCAUGUGCCAGCCCCUCCUUCUUUUUCAUUGUAGCUGUUUGUGGGGUUGGAUGCUGACCCAGACUGACCAAGGCAGCUCAGGGAUAAGAACCAUUGGUUUGGGCUGUUUAAGUCAGCAUUCCUACCAGAAGGAACAUCUGUCAUCACAGUUCAGUGCUUAAAUAUAAGCUCAUAUACUGAUGAGGCUGCUUGUCUCAGCUGCUGUUGCUGAAGCUUCUGCCACAUUGCCUGUUGACAAUAAGUAAUUUGCUAUGUAAAUUCUCAUCAUUUCUAUGCUUCAAAAUAAUUUUAAAGUCUGCUGUAAUAAAUGUUGGCCUCUUGAGGAAUAACAGAACCCUUGAUUUAUGCUCUUACAAUUACCUCUGUUAAGUAGUCACAGUGCUUAAAAAAAAAUCUUAGAGUGGCCAAAGGCUAUUUUGUGCACCUCCAGGUCCACAGUUCAAAUGCCACAUAAAGUUUAAUUGCUUUCCUGAUCUGGGCUGAUCAGUCCUGCUCUCUGCAGCAUGGUCCUUGCUGCCUUCCUUGCUUGCUGUCAGUGCCAGCUGAGAGGGGCUGGAGCCUGUGGCACUGUAUCCACAGUCUGGCUGAGAAAGUGGUGCCUGCAAUUUAUAAGGGAUCAUGUGCUCAACUUCCAUAAAUAAAUGAAAGGGACAGAGUCAUCCCUAGGAGCCUCGUCACCUUUUAGGCACUCAUGCAUACAGUAAGUGCACUGGGCCAGCACAACAGCUCAGGAACAAAAUGAGCAAUUAAUUAAACAAAUGUACAGUAACAGAGGUAAUGGAGUAGCUAUCUCACAGUGGGAAAGCUUCCCAGAGCCAUCUCACCUGACCAAAGCCAGGAUUAAGCCAGCAAGGUGGAAAGGAAAUGAGCAAAGAAGAGCUAAGCAAGUUUUAAAAAGAUCAGAGGUUGUGACUGAAAACCAGGAAAACCUAGUCCUGUCCUCAGGGUACAGACAUAUUAAAUCAUCAAAGCUUGUGAAACUUCCACUGUAGAGACAUUCUCCUGCCCACAGCCAGCGUGGAGUAACCUGAGACUGUUUGGUCCUGGGAGGAGGAGGAAAGGCAGCCACCUCAUAUUUGUGUUGGGCUGUGCUGGGUGACUGCUGGACAGGGCUGCAGAAACUGACUGGACUGUAUCUCCCUUGGUGGGAUGUCACCAGUGAUGCAAGUGAUACACAACUCCCUCUCCAUUACAGGAGACAAAACAGAAACAACAUUACUGUGAAUCCUUACUGGCCUACUAAAUUGGCAAAAGAGCACUUUGGGAUUCUGCCACCUGUAUAUAACUCCAGUUCAAAGCUGGAGACAAGAAACUGCCAUGCUGGCUGACACCUUCUUUGCUGACACAAGGACAGUGCUGGUUUGCCAAACAGCACUGUGAGAGGGCAAUUAGCAACUGCCUUCACCUCCAAACCCAAGCCAUCACCUGCUCAGAUGAAGGGGAGCUGUCAAAAGCCAAUUCACUUUUAGCAAUCAACAUCUGAAAUCAGGAGGCGGAGAGGGCUGUAACUCGGACAGGGCCCUGGGCAGGUCAGCAGGCACUGAUUAACCUGGUUAGCCUCACGUGAGUCCCUACCCAUCCACCAGCCACCCUCUGGCCCUGGAGCUGCAUUCAAACCUCAGGGGAUGGGGGUUUAUACCUUGUUAGAGCAGGUGUCUGUGUCUCCUGGGGUUUAUGUGACCCUGACACUGCUGGCCAUGGGUACCCUGGCUUUUCUUGCUCAGAUACAGCAUGGCUGUACCCUUUUUGGGGGCUGGGGCAAGUGUUUAUUACUGUCCAGUUGCCAUCCCAGCCUGCUGCCCUUUCCUGACAAGGGAUUUGGGUGCCCUAUCAAAAUAAACUUGGGCCGCUGCUAUGGAAAUGAAAUACCAAUUUUGUAUUAAGUCCUUAUGUUAUAUUAAUCCCUUGCUGGAAAAGGGCCUGGUUUGUGCUAAUUCCUGUGAUAAUUGGAAAUGGAGAGAAACACUGGAUGCAGAAUGAAAAUGAGUAAGCCUAGAUGAUAGGCCAGAGAAGGGAAGGAAGCUGCAGCUGGACAGAACACAGUGACUCACUAUUUACUACCUACUGGCUGCAAGUAUAAUCAUAGGUAAAAUCACUUUUUUUCUGUGUGGGUGCUAAGAAAAUGCAUUGCAACAUUAAAAUUGCCUUGUGUACAUUGCCUCAGUGGCCUGUACUAGGUACUAAACUGCAGUGAAGGCAGGUCUUGUCUUGUUUGUCUAAUGUUGGGGAGUGUAAGUGGUAGUUCAGUUAAUAUACUUGCUUCUGUUUCAGAGACAAGUGCCUGGUUUAUCUGAUAUGUGUACAUCACAUAGAGCAACUCUCCAGGGCUGUGACAUUUGGAGAUAUUCUGUGGCUCUGCAAUUAAAUCCUCACCCUGCCUAAAAAAACUUCAAAAAGUAAACCAAAACCCACCCACUGAAACUCUUUAGAUGGAAGACUUGUGAUAAUCUUGUCAUACUUUAUGUAUGAUAGUCUGAUGAUUCUUAUUAAACAAUUCUUCUGGAUAGCCUACAACUUUUAGCAGAACUUAGUACACCUUCCCCAAAGACCUUAUCUUGAUUUAAAGAAUUCACAUGGAGAGGAACCUGAUGUGCUUGAUCAAAUUUUUGUUAUAGCUUUAUCUGGUAGAUUGAAGAGGCAUCUUAUCCUAUUUUGUUAGUGCCUUAGUAUUUUUGUUUUCUUCUGCCUGUUUUGUGGUAGUAGCAAAAUCAUAGUUGUGUUGGGUGGUACAUGGUUACUUUUGGUCCCCUUUAGGUCAUGCCAUAUGAUCCUGAGCUCAUUCAGAGUCAGUCUUCCAAAAUAGCUCUUCUCAUUCUAGUAGUAUGUCCUGCCAGUUUGGGUAGAAGACCUCUUGUCUUCCAUAUAACUGUAUUGAAUUCUGAGAACAAGGGGAUGAUAUUUAGUGGGAGAUCUAGAAAAAUUGUACAAUUUCCCUGUCUCUGUAACAUGCAAUGUCACAGACCUGUCUUCUGUAACCUUUUAUAACAGUUGUUUCAUUUUGCCCUGUAAGCUUCAUAACUAAGUUGCAAUU